UGACAUGAUGAACUCACUUUGGAAUCUCGUUCGGCUGAACAUUGCUGUUGAGACUCUGACUCUGAGGCUU
ensembl:snoRNA SNORD30 Small nucleolar RNA SNORD30